rnacentral:rRNA from 1 species
AAACGUUGCUUCGGCGGGAACAGACGGCCCUGUAACAACGGGCCGCCCCCGCCAGAGGACCCCUAACUCUGUUUUUAUAAUGUUUUUCUGAGUAAACAAGCAAAUAAAUUAAAACUUUCAACAACGGAUCUCUUGGCUCUGGCAUCGAUGAAGAACGCAGCGAAAUGCGAUAAGUAAUGUGAAUUGCAGAAUUCAGUGAAUCAUCGAAUCUUUGAACGCACAUUGCGCCCGCCAGUAUUCUGGCGGGCAUGCCUGUUCGAGCGUCAUUACAACCCUCAGGCCCCCGGGCCUGGCGUUGGGGAUCGGCGGAAGCCCCCUGUGGGCACACGCCGUCCCUCAAAUACAGUGGCGGUCCCGCCGCAGCUUCCAUUGCGUAGUAGCUAACACCUCGCAACUGGAGAGCGGCGCGGCCAUGCCGUAAAACACCCAACUUCUGAAUGUUGACCUCGAAUCAGGUAGGAAUACCCGCUGAACUUAAGCAUAUCAAUAAG